rnacentral:rRNA from 1 species
GACGAACGCUGGCGGCGUGCUUAACACAUGCAAGUCGAACGGAAAGGCCCUGCUUUUGUGGGGUGCUCGAGUGGCGAACGGGUGAGUAACACGUGAGUAACCUGCCCUUGACUUUGGGAUAACUUCAGGAAACUGGGGCUAAUACCGGAUAGGAGCUCCUGCUGCAUGGUGGGGGUUGGAAAGUUUCGGCGGUUGGGGAUGGACUCGCGGCUUAUCAGCUUGUUGGUGGGGUAGUGGCUUACCAAGGCUUUGACGGGUAGCCGGCCUGAGAGGGUGACCGGCCACAUUGGGACUGAGAUACGGCCCAGACUCCUACGGGAGGCAGCAGUGAGGAAUAUUGCACAAUGGGCGGAAGCCUGAUGAAGCAACGCCGCGUGCGGGAUGACGGCCUUCGGGUUGUAAACCGCUUUAGCCUGUGACGAAGCGUGAGUGACGGUAAUGGGUAAAGAAGCACCGGCUAACUACGUG